GGGUGGGAACUUUGCAAGGCCUGACUUGCACAGCAAGAAAAGGUCAGGAAAGUCUGCCCACCAUAAAAGGCAACUCUCAGAGAUCCAGCAAUGGAUGGCAACGUCACAGAAACGAGACCACCUACAGGCAGGAUGAAAGCUGAGAACGCCCUCGCGAGAGGGCUGAGAUAACCAGCAGACGAUCCUGUAGGAAUGGAUGAAACGGACAGCCCUUGCCGGUGCAAGUCCAGAACGGGCGCUAAGUAGAAUGCAAAGACAGCCACUCCAAAAAUGUGCUUCAAGCCAUUAAAACAGGCAAAAGCGCAAGGAGGCUGACAGAAGGCAGCUUAAUCCCACCC
rnacentral:RNase_P_RNA from 1 species